CAGCCGCCGCGGUAAUACGUAGGGUGCGAGCGUUAGUCGGAGUUACUGGGCGUAAAGCGUGCGCAGGCGGUUAUAUAAGACAGAUGUGAAAUCCCCGGGCUCAACCUGGGACCUGCAUUUGUGACUGUAUAGCUAGAGUACGGUAGAGGGGGAUGGAAUUCCGCGUGUAGCAGUGAAAUGCGUAGAUAUGCGGAGGAACACCGAUGGCGAAGGCAAUCCCCUGGACCUGUACUGACGCUCAUGCACGAAAGCGUGGGGAGCAAACAGGAUUAGAGACCCGUGUAGUCCCUGUCUCUUAUAC
rnacentral:rRNA from 1 species